UACCACUCUCAACCUCAUAAAGAGAGAAACCUAUAUGAGUUACAGAAUCACAAAGCCAGUGUGAGCUAGCAUGGCAGUAUAGAAUUCCUGGGAUUUCCUAACACAAGUGUUGUUUAUACUUACUUCCAGACUCUUUUUUAUGACCCUGAGAAACGACACUGAGUACACAUAAUAAGACUAAAGAUGGAUAUUUGUCACCCAAAGCAUAAACUUCCCAGAAUCCAGGAAGCAGGAGAUAUGACAAAAAUGAGAGACAAAUGGCAUUUCUAGAUGAGUCAAUCAGUAGAUCUGAAGAAAAUCCUACAGGGAGACCUAGCCUUCUCUGCCUUGAGGACACGUAGAUCUUUCUCCAGAAAAAGAUGAUCUCACAUCUGCAAUUGCGACCCUCUUCUGAUGCCUCUUGGAAGUGCAGACAUUCAACAAUUACAAUGCGGAUUACGUAAACCUAAAUGAAACCUUUUGAAAAACUUCUAAAAUAUAUUUCCAGGAGACAAUUAAGGGAAAGACAUAAUAAUCUCUUCAGCCCUGCCUACAGCCAGAAAGAUUUCCUUGAGUUUCUUUAUAGCCCUUUCUUAUGAUGUUCAUGGCGCUUCUCUUCUCUACAUCUGAAGCGUUCUUUAAUGUUUGCUCUUGUCUAUUUCUGUUGCUUCAAUGCCAUUUCAAACUACCCCUUCAUGUGAAUUACCACAAUAGCCUCUUAUUAGCCUCCAACUACUAGUCCCCUCAUACUGCUUUCAUUAAGUCAAGUGAAUAGUCUAAACAUUAGAAAAAAUAUCAAAAAUGAUAAGAUAAUUUCUGAUCGUAUCAUUCCACUACUGAAAUUGACUGGUCUAUUUAAUUAAACCUAUCUUCUCAGGUGGUCUUCAAAGCUCUAGGAUUAAGAUAUCAGCUCUAUCUAAUUCCCUACUACUUCGAUAACAAUAUUCUCUGUUGCAACUACUAACAACUCAGUGUUUAUUGAACAUACUGAACUCUCCUUACCAUUAAUAGCCUUCUCUCCAAUUAGAAUUUCUUUAAUCCUACUGUGACAGAUUGUAUUUCCCAAAGAUGGCCUCAACAUCCUAUAUGCUUUUCUGCAAUGUGUUCUUGCAACUCCUCCACCGAGCAGUGGAGUCUAUUUCAUCACAUCCUAGAACAUAGACAAUUUUUAAC